rnacentral:lncRNA from 1 species
UUCUUUUUUUUUAGCGCGUAUUUUCAGAUUCUAACUUGAGCCUCUUGUGGUUUCAGCUAACUUGGAGCGAGGCUCCUUAUCCCGCACUUUUACUAACUGCUUUAUAAAUUUCUGCGGUGGUCAGACUGCUUGGGAGUCCGGAGAGAGCCCAUAAGAAGCAAGCGGAGCUCCGAGAGAAGGAGCUGAAUAGAAAGAUUGAU